GGAUUAGAUACCCUGGUAGUCCUAGCUGUAAACGAUGGAUACUAGACGUAGGAACUGGAUUGACGGUUUCUGUGUCGCAGCUAACGCGUUAAGUAUCCCGCCUGGGGAGUACGGUCGCAAGACUAAAACUCAAAGGAAUUGACGGGACCCCGCACAAGCGGCGGAGCAUGCGGCUUAAUUCGAUGAUACCCGUAGAACCUUACCUACUCUUGACAUACUUGGAAGCUCUUGUAAUGAGAGUGUGCCUUUUGGAGCCAAGAUACAGGUGCUGCAUGGCUGUCGUCAGCUCGUGUUG
rnacentral:rRNA from 1 species